GUCGGGAGCCGCCGCCUCCUUCCUUUCCCCGGCCCGCGAUCUCUCCCUCCCCCUCUUUAUAUAGUCUCUUGCGUCACAUCUUCUCGUUCGCCCUUUCUCUCUGCCGCCUUUCCAGCACUCCCCCCUCGUGUUCCUCGGCGAUGAAUGGUCUCAUGCUGGCUAGGGUUAUUGUCGUGGAGGCGCUGCUGUGUUGGUGUCUGGCCAAGUGAUGUCGCCAGCAGAUCCAACUGCUAAGGAUUUAAUCGUUGAUUCGUGUGCAGAUGGUGGAUCUGGUUCUUGUUUACACAUGCUCUUGGUCGGGCCAUACGAUAGCAUCUAGUGGUCUUGUGUGCCUUCCAUUUUGGUGAUCAUUUUUCUUGUUUGUUAGACUUGAUCAAUCAAUGGAUUUCUCCAUGACAACCAAAGGGUUUUUUUUUUUUUGUUAUUUUGCGACUGGAGGAAAAUGAUGCAUGUGAAGAUCUACUAAAUGCUUCUUCUACGCAUCACUUCUCUUGGUUUAAGCUUCGCCUUCCUCAUUGCCUCAGUCUUGGUUUAUCUCGGAUUUCUGAGUCUACAUAACCUGUCUACCUAUUAUAAAAAAAGUGAUAUCUUUUUGCUGCAUUGUACCAAGAUCAGGUUUGUUUAUUGCUUCCUUGGUCUUGGAAUUGCCGGAGUCGGCUGUAGCAACAUCAAUGCAAGGGAAGAAAACUGGUCGAUUUGCCAUCACAUUUUCAGUUGACAUUUCGCUUACCAAACUUCUCAUAUCAUUUUAUUGAUCAUUUUCUAGGAAAAGUAAUCAAUUUUUCUUCGUUUUUUUUGUGAAUAUAUGAAAAGGAAAAUGGUACAUGUGUCAGCCAUUGUUGGAGGCCUUUCUGUGUGUUUUCUCAGCUUCUGAUAACGAGUAUCUCUAUUUUUUCACUUUCUGUCAACUACUGUUUGUUUCGCCAAUUGUUAGCCAUUUCUGCUACAUAUGUACCAAGAUUAUAUUUCAUUUGUUGCUUUCCUGGUCUUCAAAUUGUAGUUGGGCUGUAGCAAUAACGAUCAAUGGGAAGAAAGCUGGUCAAAUUGCAAUGAAUUUUUUCCAUUGACCUUUUGCUUAUAGAACCUACCAUAUCAUUGUUAAGUUUGAGAUCUUUUUGCUUCAUUGUACCGAGAUCAAGGUUUGUUUAUUGCCUACUUGGUCUUGAAAUUGCCGGAGUCGGCUGUAGCAAUAGCAAGAUAAGGGAAGAAAACUGGUCGAUUUGCCAUCACAUUUUCAGUUGACAUUUCGCUUACCAAACUUCCCAUAUCAUUUUAUUGAUAAUUUUCAGGAAAAGUAAUCAAUUUGUCUCUGUUUUUUUUGUGAAUAUAUAAAAGGGAAAAUAGAAAAAUGGUAAAUGUGUCAGCCAUUGUUGGAGGCCUUUCUGAGUGUUUCCUCAACUUCUAAUAACGAAUUUCUCUAUUAUUUCACUUGUUGUUGACUACAGUUUGUUAACAAUAACAAUUGGUAGCUAUUUCUUUUACAUUUGUACCAAGAUUAUGUUUCACUUGUUGCUUUCCUAAUCUUCAAAUUGUUGUGGGGCUGUAGCAAUAACAAUCAAUGGGAAGAAAGCUGGUUAAUUUGCCAUGAUUUUUUCCAUUGCCCUUUUGCUUAUAGAAGUUACCAUAUCAUUGUUAAGUUUGAGAUCUUUUUGCUACAUUGUACCGAGAUCAAGGUUUGUUUAUUGCUUCCUUGGACUUGAAAUUGCCAGAGUCGGCUGUAGCAACAGUGAUUUAAGGGAAGAAAACUGGUCGAUUUGCCAUCACAUUUUUGGUUGACAUUUCGCUUACCUAACUUCCCAUAUCAUUUAUUUGCUAAUUUUCUAGGAAAAAUAAUCAAUUUUUCUUUUGGUUUUUUGUGAAUAUAUGAAAGGGAAAAUAGGAAAAUGUGUCAGCUUUUGUUGGAGGUCUUUAUGAUUGUUUCCUCAACGUCUAAUAGUGAAUUUCUCAAUUAUUUAACUUUUGUCAACUACUGUUUGUUUUAUCAAUUGUUAGCUAUUUCUGCUACAUUUGUAACAAGAUUAUAUUUCAUUUGUUGCUUUCCUGGUCUUCAAAUUGUCAUUGGCCGUUGGCCUUUUGCUUAUCAAACUUAUCAAUUUUUUCGUGAAUAUAUAAAAGAUAAAAUAGGAAAAUAGUAAAUGUGUCAGUCAUUGUUUUGGAGGCCUUUCUGUGUGUUUCCUCAUUGUACCAGUAUUAUAUUUCAUUGUUGUUUAGAGAAUUUUUUUUGGUCUUAUUUUGUGAUUAAUGAGAAGGGAAGAAGAGGAAAAUGGUGCAAGCAUCAGCCAUUAUUAGAGGCCCUUCUUGUAUAUGAAGAGUUAUUUAACUCGGUUAUGCUCCAAGCAAGCUGUUUUGAUCUCUACAGCUUGUUUGUUGCUAUACCUACAAUUAUUUUGCAUUUUAUUUGAACGCCUUUGUUCUUAUUGGAUUUACAAAAUUUUAAGGAUUUAACUAACAUUUCAAUAUGGUAUCAUCUCCCCAAUUUCUGGGGUUUAUUCUGGCUUUGUUCUUUAUUAAGGUUCAUUUAUUGCUUUCGUUUCAGGAAAAUUAGUUUUGUUUUUUUGUUGUUUGCUGCUAUAUGUAAGGGGAAGAAGAAAAUACUAGCACAUUGCCUGUUCCUACUCAUGGGCCUUUCUACAACCACAUCGAGGUAACAGUUUCUGCUAGGCUGCAACUCGUGGUGUUUCUUCUGUCUACUCCACAAUCGUCUCCUGUUCCACAUCAUGCAACACUGGUUUGCAAUGCCAUAUCUGAAAUUUUGGCUGUAAGCUAACGAGGACCUUAUGCGGAGCUUGUGUUCGCGAUCGCAAUCUUCUCAACUAGUUCUUACACCAUAUCGAAAACUACAAAAUGGCUAGCAUUAUUUGUCGCUCGAAUAUGAAUCAUAUGGCUGGCAAGAAACAACUGGAUCCUUAUUACAUACCGUUGUUCUAUGUCACUUACUAGGUUAAUUUGUUCUUCAUGUAAGCAAUACUGAUCUUGCAAUUUUUUAUGACCCUUUUUGUUAUCA